rnacentral:lncRNA from 1 species
GUGGGGUUCGGGGAAGGCCAGCCCGCGGUCACGCCGGCUGUGGGAAGGGAAAGUGGGCUCCCCGGGCUACUGUUUCCGGGUGCUCGGGGCGUGGGCCGAGCGGGGAUCGGACCGGGGAUCUGGAGGGCUUCCGGAAGCGCCGUGGGCGCUCGGCAGGCGGGAGUUGAGGACCAGGCCGGCCUCGCGGUUGACUCGCUCAGCGGAGGCCCCACCGCGAGCGCGCCUGUGGGGGUUUCCAUGGUGACAGUAAACAAGCCUCAACUGCCUCAGCUACAACUGCCAAGUCCCCGGGGUUCCACCCUCCUCUAGGUGCUCUGAGGGCCGGCGAGGUUCCGGAUGUGAGUAGGAGCGUGGAGACGAGAAGCCCGAGGUUGAGAACAAAAAGAAGAUGCACCUGGACUUUCCCCGGAGCCCUCUGCGUUUUUAAGGCGUCGGGUGGAGUUGGGGUUCGUAAGCCGCGUUCGUUAUUGAAAAUAGAAGUCACUUCUACCUUCCUCCCGUGGAAAACUUGUUAUCUUCCAUUCUGUGUUUCCUACAGAAGGCAUCUGUGGUGGUUCUUUAAGGUAAGCUACUAAAAGAUACAUUUAACUGUAAGACGAUUAAUUUGUUAAGCAAAGUUUAGUUUUCUUUGAAGAACUGUCAGUUUUAAAUGCUUGGUGAGUUUACAGUUAAGUCAAACUAAAGAACUAUGAACUUCUUGGGGGGGUGAGUAAAAGCAAGCUGUAGGUGUUGGUUGACAUGUUACAGAAAAGAAUGCUUUCUUCCCCUGUUGCUGAAACUGCUUAUAAAGUACUUGUUCCUUAUGCUUCUUACAUGUUUUUAGCUUUGACUAAGCUGCUAUACUCUGAAGGAAGGUGUUGACCCUAGGUGGACAGUAAAUCCCUAGCUAAUCCUUGACCU